UUCCGGUUGAUCCUGCCGGAGGCCAUUGCUAUCGGAGUCCGAUUUAGCCAUGCUAGUCGCACGGGUUUAGACCCGUGGCGGAUAGCUCAGUAACACGUGGCCAAACUACCCUAUGGACGAGCAUAACCUCGGGAAACUGAGGCUAAUACUCGAUACAGCUCCCAGGCUGGAACUGUCGGGAGCUGGAAACGUUCCGGCGCCAUAGGAUGUGGCUGCGGCCGAUUAGGUAGACGGUGGGGUAAUGGCCCACCGUGCCGAUAAUCGGUACGGGUUGUGAGAGCAAGAGCCCGGAGACGGAAUCUGAGACAAGAUUCCGGGCCCUACGGGGCGCAGCAGGCGCGAAACCUUUACACUGCACGACAGUGCGAUAAGGGGACUCCGAGUGCGAGGGCAUAUAGUCCUCGCUUUUCUGUACCGUAAGGUGGUACAGGAACAAGUGCUGGGCAAGACCGGUGCCAGCCGCCGCGGUAAUACCGGCAGCACGAGUGAUGGCCGCUAUUAUUGGGCCUAAAGCGUCCGUAGCCGGCCGGACAAGUCCGUUGGGAAAUCGACGCGCUUAACGCGUCGGCGUCCAGCGGAAACUGUCUGGCUUGGGGCCGGAAGACCUGAGGGGUACGUCCGGGGUAGGAGUGAAAUCCCGUAAUCCUGGACGGACCACCGGUGGCGAAAGCGCCUCAGGAAGACGGACCCGACGGUGAGGGACGAAAGCUAGGGUCUCGAACCGGAUUAGAUACCCGGGUAGUCCUAGCUGUAAACGAUGCUCGCUAGGUGUGGCGCAGGCUACGAGCCUGCGCUGUGCCGUAGGGAAGCCGUGAAGCGAGCCGCCUGGGAAGUACGUCUGCAAGGAUGAAACUUAAAGGAAUUGGCGGGGGAGCACUACAACCGGAGGAGCCUGCGGUUUAAUUGGAUUCAACGCCGGG
rnacentral:rRNA from 1 species